rnacentral:rRNA from 1 species
GACGAACGCUGGCGGCGUGCCUAAUACAUGCAAGUCGAACGCAGUGGGGACGGGUGAGUAACACGUGGGUAACCUACCAUCAGAGGGGAUAACACUUGGAAACAGGUGCUAAACCGAUACUGAUGGAUGAACCCGCGGUUCAUUAGCUAGUUGGUGAGGUAACGGCUAACCAAGGCCACGAUGCAUAGCCGACAUGAGAGGGUGAUCGGGCACACUGGGAGUGGGACACGGCACAGCCUCCUACGGGAGGCAGCAGUGGGGAAUCUUCGGCAAUGGACGAAAGUCUGACCGAGCAACGCCGCGUGGGGUAAGAAGGUUUUCGGAUCGUAAAACUCUGUUUUUAGAGAAGCGGUAUCUAACCAGAAAGCCACGGCUAACUACGUGCCAGCAGCCGCGGUAAUUC